rnacentral:rRNA from 1 species
UACGAGGGGGGCGAGCGUUGUUCGGAAUUAUUGGGCGUAAAGGGUGCGUAGGCGGUUUGGUAAGUCUUGUGUGAAAUCUUCGGGCUCAACUCGAAGUCUGCAUGAGAAACUGCCGGGCUGAGUGUGGGAGAGGUGAGUGGAAUUCCCGGUGUAGCGGUGAAAUGCGCAGAUAUCGGGAAGAACACCCGUGGCGAAGGCGGCUCUCUGGGACGGUACUGACGCUGAGACGCGAAAGCGUGGGGAGCGAACAGG